rnacentral:rRNA from 1 species
AGUGAACGCUGGCGGUAGGCCUAACACAUGCAAGUCGAACGGCAGCACAGUAAGAGCUUGCUCUUACGGGUGGCGAGUGGCGGACGGGUGAGGAAUACAUCGGAAUCUACUUUUUCGUGGGGGAUAACGUAGGGAAACUUACGCUAAUACCGCAUACGACCUACGGGUGAAAGCAGGGGAUCUUCGGCCCUUGCGCGAUUGAAUGAGCCGAUGUCGGAUUAGCUAGUUGGCGGGGUAAAGGCCCACCAAGGCGACGAUCCGUAGCUGGUCUGAGAGGAUGAUCAGCCACACUGGAACUGAGACACGGUCCAGACUCCUACGGGAGGCAGCAGUGGGGAAUAUUGGACAAUGGGCGCAAGCCUGAUCCAGCCAUACCGCGUGGGUGAAGAAGGCCUUCGGGUUGUAAAGCCCUUUUGUUGGGAAAGAAAAGCAGCAGGUUAAUACCCCGCUGUCCUGACGGUACCCAAAGAAUAAGCACCGGCUAACUUCGUG